UGCAAGUCGAACGCUUUGUGGUUCAACUGAUUUGAAGAGCUUGCUCAGAUAUGACGAUGGACAUUGCAAAGAGUGGCGAACGGGUGAGUAACACGUGGGAAACCUACCUCUUAGCAGGGGAUAACAUUUGGAAACAGAUGCUAAUACCGUAUAACAAUGACAACCGCAUGGUUGUUAUUUAAAAGAUGGUUCUGCUAUCACUAAGAGAUGGUCCCGCGGUGCAUUAGCUAGUUGGUAAGGUAAUGGCUUACCAAGGCGAUGAUGCAUAGCCGAGUUGAGAGACUGAUCGGCCACAAUGGGACUGAGACACGGCCCAUACUCCUACGGGAGGCAGCAGUAGGGAAUCUUCCACAAUGGGCGAAAGCCUGAUGGAGCAACGCCGCGUGUGUGAUGAAGGGUUUCGGCUCGUAAAACACUGUUGUAAGAGAAGAAUGACAUUGAGAGUAACUGUUCAAUGUGUGACGGUAUCUUACCAGAAAGGAACGGCUAAAUACGUGCCAGCAGCCGCGGUAAUACGUAUGUUCCAAGCGUUAUCCGGAUUUAUUGGGCGUAAAGCGAGCGCAGACGGUUAUUUAAGUCUGAAGUGAAAGCCCUCAGCUCAACUGAGGAAUUGCUUUGGAAACUGGAUGACUUGAGUGCAGUAGAGGAAAGUGGAACUCCAUGUGUAGCGGUGAAAUGCGUAGAUAUAUGGAAGAACACCAGUGGCGAAGGCGGCUUUCUGGACUGUAACUGACGUUGAGGCUCGAAAGUGUGGGUAGCAAACAGGAUUAGAUACCCUGGUAGUCCACACCGUAAACGAUGAGUGCUAGGUGUUUGAGGGUUUCCGCCCUUAAGUGCCGCAGCUAACGCAUUAAGCACUCCGCCUGGGGAGUACGACCGCAAGGUUGAAACUCAAAGGAAUUGACGGGGACCCGCACAAGCGGUGGAGCAUGUGGUUUAAUUCGAAGCAACGCGAAGAACCUUACCAGGUCUUGACAUCCCUUGACAACUCCAGAGAUGGAGCGUUCCCUUCGGGGACAAGGUGACAGGUGGUGCAUGGUUGUCGUCAGCUCGUGUCGUGAGAUGUUGGGUUAAGUCCCGCAACGAGCGCAACCCUUAUUACUAGUUGCCAGCAUUCAGUUGGGCACUCUAGUGAGACUGCCGGUGACAAACCGGAGGAAGGUGGGGAUGACGUCAAAUCAUCAUGCCCCUUAUGACCUGGGCUACACACGUGCUACAAUGGCGUAUACAACGAGUUGCCAACCCGCGAGGGUGAGCUAAUCUCUUAAAGUACGUCUCAGUUCGGAUUGUAGGCUGCAACUCGCCUACAUGAAGUCGGAAUCGCUAGUAAUCGCGGAUCAGCACGCCGCGGUGAAUACGUUCCCGGGUCUUGUACACACCGCCCGUCACACCAUGAGAGUUUGUAACACCCAAAGCCGGUGGGGUAACCUUCGGGAGCCAGCCGUCUA
rnacentral:rRNA from 1 species